AGAGUUUGAUCCUGGCUCAGGAUGAACGCUGGCGGCGUGCCUAAUACAUGCAAGUCGAGCGAACGGACGAGAAGCUUGCUUCUCUGAUGUUAGCGGCGGACGGGUGAGUAACACGUGGAUAACCUACCUAUAAGACUGGGAUAACUUCGGGAAACCGGAGCUAAUACCGGAUAAUAUUUUGAACCGCAUGGUUCAAAAGUGAAAGACGGUCUUGCUGUCACUUAUAGAUGGAUCCGCGCUGCAUUAGCUAGUUGGUAAGGUAACGGCUUACCAAGGCAACGAUGCAUAGCCGACCUGAGAGGGUGAUCGGCCACACUGGAACUGAGACACGGUCCAGACUCCUACGGGAGGCAGCAGUAGGGAAUCUUCCGCAAUGGGCGAAAGCCUGACGGAGCAACGCCGCGUGAGUGAUGAAGGUCUUCGGAUCGUAAAACUCUGUUAUUAGGGAAGAACAUAUGUGUAAGUAACUGUGCACAUCUUGACGGUACCUAAUCAGAAAGCCACGGCUAACUACGUGCCAGCAGCCGCGGUAAUACGUAGGUGGCAAGCGUUAUCCGGAAUUAUUGGGCGUAAAGCGCGCGUAGGCGGUUUUUUAAGUCUGAUGUGAAAGCCCACGGCUCAACCGUGGAGGGUCAUUGGAAACUGGAAAACUUGAGUGCAGAAGAGGAAAGUGGAAUUCCAUGUGUAGCGGUGAAAUGCGCAGAGAUAUGGAGGAACACCAGUGGCGAAGGCGACUUUCUGGUCUGUAACUGACGCUGAUGUGCGAAAGCGUGGGGAUCAAACAGGAUUAGAUACCCUGGUAGUCCACGCCGUAAACGAUGAGUGCUAAGUGUUAGGGGGUUUCCGCCCCUUAGUGCUGCAG
rnacentral:rRNA from 2 species